GCUGUGAUGGCCGAGUGGUUAAGGCGUUGGACUCGAGAUUCGGUGGGGUGCCUGCGCGUAGGUUCAAAUUUUGCUCACAGCG
rfam:Pongo abelii chromosome 6.